CUAACGAAUUUAAUCAGACGUCAGCAAAAUAUAACAGAAGUAUUUAAAAUUUUUAAUCAAAUCUAUAAGCUGGUGGUUUUUGUUCAUUUCUCAUUUGCAAGCAUUACCUUGGGAGUUGCUUUGGUUAAUCUUCGAUUGAUUCCUGGUUUGGCUAAAAUAAUUUAUUUAAUGUACGCAGUUGGGGCAUUAAAUCAGCUUUUCAUGUAUUGUUAUGGUGCUGAGAGUGUCAACAAAAAUUGUUUAAAACUAUCUGAGGUUUUAUACUUUUGUGAUUGGUAUAAUUGCAACAAGAAAGUAAAGCUUUUGGUUUUAUUUGUUUUGUUUAAAUCACAAGAAGGAAGUUCAUUUCUGGCGCCAUUUUUCUCGCCAUCUUUAUUACUCUUUUCUUCGAUUGUUCAGACGUCUGGAUCUUAUUUUUCAAUUCUGCAAGCAGUUAUGUAAAUUUAAAAAUUGUUUCAUUUUAUACUCGUACAAAUAAACAAAUUAUUAUAAUCUGUUACAAAAAAAAAUACAUAUUCAGUAGGGUGGGUCAAAAAAAUCGAAAUUCUUUUUUUUGAUUUGGUACUCCGAAAAAUCGAUUGCUAGACACCUCUAGAAUAUACACACCAAAUAUGAGCUCUUAAUAUUAAUGGUAAGGUCCUCCGCUUUUAAAUUUUCCAUGUUUGCAUCAAGUUUCUACAAAAAAAAAUUAUUUUUUUUAUAAAUCGACUUUUUUGCAAAUUUCUUUGCUUAUUCUUGUAGGAAAUUGAACGCUCUACAAAAAAGGUUAAAUACACUUUUUUGAAUUAUCUAACCGUUUAGUAGAUAUUUGAGGUCCAAAAAUCGAGAAAAUCUUUAAAAAUUCGUUUUUUGUUCUUAAUUUUGUAACAAAUUGAAAAAUUAUAAUAAUCAAACACGCAUGACAUAUUCUUGUAGGAAACAGAUUGCUCCACAAAAAAGGUUUUAAUAAUUUUUUUCAAUAAUCUUACCAUUCUAAAGAUA